rnacentral:rRNA from 1 species
GCUUAACACAUGCAAGUCGAGGGGCAGCACAGGUAGCAAUACCGGGUGGCGACCGGCGCACGGGUGAGUAACGCGUAUGCAACUUGCCUAUCAGAGGGGGAUAACCCGGCGAAAGUCGGACUAAUACCGCAUGAAGCAGGGGCCCCGCAUGGGGAUAUUUGCUAAAGAUUCAUCGCUGAUAGAUAGGCAUGCGUUCCAUUAGGCAGUUGGCGGGGUAACGGCCCACCAAACCGACGAUGGAUAGGGGUUCUGAGAGGAAGGUCCCCCACAUUGGUACUGAGACACGGACCAAACUCCUACGGGAGGCAGCAGUGAGGAAUAUUGGUCAAUGGCCGAGAGGCUGAACCAGCCAAGUUGCGUGAGGGAUGAAGGUUCUAUGGAUCGUAAACCUCUUUUAUAAGGGAAUAAAGUGCGGGACGUGUCCCGUUUUGUAUGUACCUUAUGAAUAAGGAUCGGCUAACUCCGUGCCAGCAGCCGCGGUAAUACGGAGGAUCCGAGCGUUAUCCGGAUUUAUUGGGUUUAAAGGGUGCGUAGGCGGCCUUUUAAGUCAGCGGUGAAAGUCUGUGGCUCAACCAUAGAAUUGCCGUUGAAACUGGGGGGCUUGAGUAUGUUUGAGGCAGGCGGAAUGCGUGGUGUAGCGGUGAAAUGCAUAGAUAUCACGCAGAACCCCGAUUGCGAAGGCAGCCUGCCAAGCCAUUACUGACGCUGAUGCACGAAAGCGUGGGGAUCAAACAGGAUUAGAUACCCUGGUAGUCCACGCAGUAAACGAUGAUCACUAGCUGUUUGCGAUACACUGUAAGCGGCACAGCGAAAGCGUUAAGUGAUCCACCUGGGGAGUACGCCGGCAACGGUGAAACUCAAAGGAAUUGACGGGGGCCCGCACAAGCGGAGGAACAUGUGGUUUAAUUCGAUGAUACGCGAGGAACCUUACCCGGGUUUGAACGCAUUCGGACCGAGGUGGAAACACCUUUUCUAGCAAUAGCCGUUUGCGAGGUGCUGCAUGGUUGUCGUCAGCUCGUGCCGUGAGGUGUCGGCUUAAGUGCCAUAACGAGCGCAACCCUUGCCACUAGUUACUAACAGGUAAAGCUGAGGACUCUGGUGGGACUGCCAGCGUAAGCUGCGAGGAAGGCGGGGAUGACGUCAAAUCAGCACGGCCCUUACAUCCGGGGCGACACACGUGUUACAAUGGCGUGGACAAAGGGAAGCCACCUGGCGACAGGGAGCGAAUCCCCAAACCACGUCUCAGUUCGGAUCGGAGUCUGCAACCCGACUCCGUGAAGCUGGAUUCGCUAGUAAUCGCGCAUCAGCCAUGGCGCGGUGAAUACGUUCCCGGGCCUUGUACACACCGCCCGUCAAGCCAUGGGAGCCGGGGGUACCUGAAGUCCGUAACCGCGAGGAUCGGCCUAGGGUAAAACUGGUGACUGG